rnacentral:rRNA from 1 species
AUGGUUGUCGUCAGCUCGUGUCGUGAGAUGUUGGGUUAAGUCCCGCGACGAGCGCAACCCUUGCUAUUAGUUGCUAACAGGUAGAGCUGAGCACUCUAAUGGGACUGCCGGUGACAAGCCGGAGGAAGGUGGGGGUGACGUCAAAUCAUCAUGCCCUUUAUGACCUGGGCUACACACGUGCUACAAUGGAUGGUACAGAGAGCAGCGAGGCAGCGAUGUGGAGCAAAUCUCAAAAAGCCAUCCUCAGUUCGGAUUGGAGUCUGCAACUCGACUCCAUGAAGUUGGAAUCGCUAGUAAUCGCGGAUCAGCAUGCCGCGGUGAAUACGUUCCCGGGCCUU